CCUCUUCCAGCUCAUGGACAGUUCUCCUGAUGAAGACACUAACUGUUCUCCUGGUGUCCUGUGCUCUGUCAGCGUUGUUCUCCAGUGCUGCUGGUCUUCUGGAGGGACUCUACUGUGGCAGAGAGAGCUGCUAUGACGUUCUUCAAGUGGACAAAGAUGUCACACUGAGCUGUACGUACGUGGUGGAGCUAUUGACUGUGCUCACACACUGUUGCUUGGUUACAGCCUGAGAUGAGGAGAGCCAUCGACACCUGGCACUGGAGUACCAUCCUGACAAGAACAAGGUAACAGAGGGAGAGUUGGCUGAGGGCUCUAGGGAGAGGUUCCAGCUCAUCAGCACGACCUACGAGAUACUGAAGGAUGAGGAGGAGAGAGCAAACUAUGACUACAUGCUUGAGAACCCUGAGCAAGGGUACCAUCGCUACUAUCACUACUACCGUCGUUGAGUGACCCCCCAGGUGAACAUCUGAGUGGUUGUGGGUGUGGCCAUCAUCGUCAUCUCUCUUGUCCAGUACCUCGGCGGCUGGUGGCACUCGUGCAAUACAGUCAUCACUGCAGCUCUCUCAGAAUGCCAAGAUAUCGUGGUAAGGCUAAGGAGCUGGCAGUGGAGAAGGGGUUGUUGAAGGAGGGUCAGAGAGAUGGACUCAAAGGAGGAAAUAAAGAACGACGAAGAGACUGUGCUACAGAGAAUUGUGGAGGAGAACCUCAACAUUCUUGGUUGAUACAGUAAACCUAUGCUGCGGAGUACAAGGAGGAAAGGAAAGAAGGACAGCGCUACUAGACAAUGCCAAGUACAAGAAGUACAAGUGAGUGAGUAAAUGUGUGAGAGUGAGGCCAGUGAAGGAGGCUAGACGAUACCAAGUACAGUGAGAGAUACAUGAGAGCACUGGUCAGUCAGAAAAGAGUCACCACAAACUGUUAGGGACAAUAACAUUUUGUAUGAAAGCAUAAUUAUUUAUCAUUUUUGCUUCGGUUUUUAAAUUAUUGAAAGGAAUCUUGCAG